GUUAUAGUAGUUUAAUAAAACAAUGGUCUUGUAAGCCAUAAUUGAGAUAGUUUUCUCCUAAAACU
rnacentral:tRNA from 1 species